rnacentral:lncRNA from 1 species
CAUUUCCUUGACGUGGUCGACGGUGGCAACUACGCGACUCAUACUUCGUGCAUCCACUUCUCCAAGCGAAACGACCAGAUGUUCUCACGAUACCCACAUCAAGGAAUGCCCAACGACAAACACAGACUGGUUGCCUUCAAAACCGACGUCUCAAGCUGUGCCAAACUGUGUGUUGAAGAAAGUGACAUGACGUGCCAGAGCUUCGAUUUCUGCACGGAAUGU